rnacentral:rRNA from 1 species
GACGAACGCUGGAGGCGUGCUUAACACAUGCAAGUCGAACGGAGUGGCGAACGGGUGAGUAACACGUGGGUGAUCGGACGUGAACUGCGGGAUAAGCUUGGGAAACUGGGGCUAAUACCGGAUAGUGCAAGAUGAGCUCGCGGACUAUCAGCUUGUUGGUGGGGUAAUGGCCUACCAAGGCGGGGACUGGUAGCCGGCCUGAGAGUGUGUACGGCCACAUUGGGACUGAGAUACGGCCCAGACUCCUACGGGAGGCAGCAGUGGGGAAUAUUGCACAAUGGGCGGAAGCCUGAUGCAGCGACGCCGCGUGGGUGAUGAAGGCCUUCGGGUUGUAAACUCCUUUCGACAGGGACGCGGUACCUGUAUAAGAAGCACCGGCUAACUACGUGCCAGCAGCCGCGGUAAUUC